UGGACGCGACGAGUGUGAAGUGUGUUGGACGGCGUCGAGGCUUCGGGACGGCGUUUCCCGGGGUUGGUGGUCACAGGCUGGUCCUUCUUAAAGAUGAGGCCCGGCACUGCGCCAGACAUGCGGCGUAUGUCACCUGCCUUCAGCGUCGGAGCCACCUUUCCCGUUUUGUGGAGCGUCCGCGACGUCCCCGAGAAGUGGCGCGGCUCGCUCGACGUCACACAGCGCUUGGUAGUGAAGCAGAGUUUCAGGACAGGCCUGAGACUUGGGGAGGCCGGGCUCGAGGCUGCCGUGGUUCCGGAGGGCAGAGGGGCGGGCCCAUUAACCGGGAGACUGAAGCAGGGCACUGCCAGGAGGGGCAGGUGUGAGGAAGGGCCGGGGCCGGACAAGAUUCGUGGUUGGGUGGGUGGGGGACGAGAGAAGGAACGCUCACUGGAGGACCGAAGGGGCUGCCACAUGCCAGAUCUUGGAGGACCUCAAGUGCUGGAGGAAGGACGCUGGCCCACAGGGGACCGGCUGUCACAACUGGUUCUCGAGCCCAGCGAGACCAGUUGGGCCUCUCCAGCCUUCACUUCUGUCUGGUGUCCUGCGUGUCUUUGUGCUGUGGGUGGAAACUCCCACCUGCGCCUCCACACUCUACUUACAGGCAGGGGCUGGUAAAUCUAAUGAGCCGGUGUGCCCCGAAGGAGACAGCAGGGCUCACAUGUUCCAGCCUCGCCUCCCUCCUUGUUGAUGGCUGUGUGGCAUGGGCAAGUAGACAGCGGGGUCUCCACGUUCCCAUCUGUAAAGAAGGCUCACAGGAGGAGUUAUCUGGGAUCGAAGCUCUUAUUUUAUUCGCAGAGAGAUGCCACCAAUAGGUCCCGAGUGGGUUACGCAGGAGCCUGCACUGUUCUUAACGACUACGAUGCCCUGUAAAGUCCCUGGCAGCUCUGCAAACCUUUCUGUGGGAUUGGCACAUUCUAGAAACUUCCACCAAACCGUGAGGUUUGAUCUUUGAGGAUUCUGCUCGAGCUGGAGAUAGAAGCUGUCUCCCUGUCUGCACAUCACUGUCCUCUCUCUUUACAAGACUCCUGACACCAGAAGACCCCAGGGAUACCAGGCUCCCACGGAUGUGGUAGAAUGCCAACCCUCAGGUUCUCAAGACCAAGUCACGGUCCGCUUUCUCUCCCCGCUGCCUACCUGCUCCUCUGCUCCAACCAUUCUGGCAGGCCCGGCUCUUCACAGAUGGGGCGCCCAGGGCCUUGGCCUUAAUUUUCCUUCUGUACGGUGGUUUACAAAGGGAGAGUUUUUUUGAAGACUCAAAACCAAAAGGUGCAUCUUAAUUAGGGAAGACGUGCAGGGAGGCCAGGCUGAGCCCUGCUGGGCACCAGCCUUCCACUUUGUGAGAACAAAUGCUUUGAACACAGCCCCGUUGCCAUGGUGAUCCCCGCAUCUCAGCUUACUGAGGUGGUGUUGCAAAUCUGUGGGGGAAGAACAGAUUAUUCAAUAAAUGAUGCUGGGACAUUUGCUUAGCUAUUCAGAAAGAAAUAAAAUUAGCUCCUUACUUCACACCAUACUCUGAUAAGAAUUCCAGAGGAUCCAAAGAAUUAAAAUAAAAAAGGAAAUCAUUAAAAACUUGAAGAAACUAUAGCCAAAUAUCUGAGCUGUCGUUGAGUAAAGUCCUUCUAAACAAAAAA